AGUGAACGCUGGCGGUAGGCCUAACACAUGCAAGUCGAACGGCAGCACAGUAAGAGCUUGCUCUUACGGGUGGCGAGUGGCGGACGGGUGAGGAAUACAUCGGAACCUACUCUUCCGUGGGGGCUAACGUAGGGAAACUUACGAUCAUACAGCAUACGACCUACGGGUGAAAGCAGGGGAUCUUCGGACCUUGCGCGAGUGGAUGAGCCGAUGGCGUAUUAGCUAGUUGGGGGGGCAAAGGCCUACCCAGGCGACGAUCGGUAGCUGGUCUGAGAGGGUGAACGGCCAGACUGGGACUGAGGGGAGGCACAGAGGGGUAAGGGAGGCAGAAGGGGGGAAUAUUGAACAAUGGGUGCAAGGUUGAUGAAGAGACGCCGCGUGGGGGAUGACGGCUUUGGGGGGGUAAAAUACUUUCGCUAGGGAAGCAGCGCAAGUGACGGUACCUGGAGAAGAAGCACCGGCUAACUAUGUG
rnacentral:rRNA from 1 species